rnacentral:rRNA from 1 species
CCUACGGGGGGCAGCAGUGAGGAAUAUUGGUCAAUGGGCGGAAGCCUGAACCAGCCAAGUAGCGUGCGGGAUGAAGGCCCUACGGGUCGUAGACUGCUUUUGCACGGGGAUAACACCCUCCACUUGUGGAGGUCUGCAGGUACCGUGCGAAUAAGGGCCGGCUAAUUCCGUGCCAGCAGCCGCGGUAAUACGGAAGGCCCGAGCGUUAUCCGGAUUCAUUGGGCUUAAAGGGAGCGUAGGCGGGCGUUAAAGCCAGCUGGAAAAUCGCGGGGCUCAACCGCGCCCCGCAGUUGAAACUGGACGCCUUGAGUUCGCAACAGGCAGGCGGAAUUCGUGGUGUAGCGGUGAAAUGCAUAGAUAUCACGAGGAACCCCGAUUGCGAAGGCAGCCUGCCGGGGUGCGACUGACGCUGAGGCUCGAAGGUGCGGGUAUCAAACAGGAUUAGAUACCCCUGUAGUC